UAACUACAGAUCAGCAAGAAAACACAGUAGUCAGAGAUGAAAUAGAAACAGGGACAACUACAGAUCAGCAAGAAAACACAGUAGUCAGAGGUGAAAUAGAAACAGGGACAACUACAGAUCAGCAAGAAAACACAGUAGUCAGAGGUGAAAUAGAAACAGGGACAACUACAGAUCAGCAAGAAAACACAGUAGUCAGAGGUGAAAUAGAAACAGGGACAACUACAGAUCAGCAAGAAAACACAGUAGUCAGAGAUGAAAUAGAAAAAGGGACAACUACAGAUCAGCAAGAAAACACAGUAGUCAGAGAUGAAAUGGAAACAGGGACAACUACGGAUCAGCAAGAAAACACAGUAGUCAGAGAUGAAAUAGAAACAGGGACAACUACAGAUCAGCAAGAAAA